GUUUACGGCCAUACCAGCCUGGGUACGCCCGAUCUCGUCUGAUCUCGGAAGCUAAGCAUGGUCGGGCCUGGUUAGUACUUGGAUGGGAGACCGCCUGGGAAUACCAGGUGCUGUAAGCU
rnacentral:rRNA from 1 species